UUCCCUUUGCCGGAAAUAAUUUUGCCUAUUUUGCUGCUGUUUCAGGUGAUGUGCCGCCCGGCUUCCCUUGACAACAGGUGCUCCUACAGCCUCGCACAACUGCAAAGUAGAAUUCCCAUGACCCUCAUUAAUACCAUGUACAACUCUAUGGAUUCUUGGUUCAAAGUUUCUACUAUAGGCCCCGGCACGCAAAAGAAUGCCUCUGGCACGGUUUACCACAGUCCCCUUUGUAGCAGGAUAUUAUCGCGUCGGCGGCAUACGACAUGGCCCUCACCAUUUUUUGCUGAUCGCCUCCAAAGUGUUGGUAACCAUUUUCAUAUUCCGUCCUGCAUCUCAAUUUCAAAUCUUGUGCAAAUCUUUUUUUCAUGGAUUCGCGAUCAACUUUGGUCCGGCCUAGAAACAUUGUAGCACUGAAUGCAGCUUUGCAUAUUUGUUUUCUUUGCGACUCGAAAAAAUGUCUCAAGUCUUUUAAAUUUUCAAUGGGCUUCCCCUGUUUUUCAACUGCACCCAGGGAUGCGGAACUGUCCCCAUCGGUUGUCAGGUAAGACACGGAUAAAGGACUGGAAUCGGUCCUCAUUUCAUCAAUACACUCACCGGCCCACUUCUUCUCAUCUCCGAUAUUUGUGUCGGCUGCAGUCUCCUGCAUGCUGCUGGCUGAAGCAGGAAGGACGUUGGCUGUCAGGAACAUUCCCCGCAUUCCCUCGGUCGUAAGGCUGGUGCCCAUUUGCCCCAGGGACAUUGCUACAUUAAGUUGGGCGGCUUUUCUACCCGGCCUAGUAGACUCUACUUCCUUGUACAACUUUUGGCGAGGACUCUGGUACCCACAGUUGGUGCAACGUAGACACAGAAUCCAGGCCAGGCCCCGUUUCUCCUGUUUUGUGUGGUCCCAGUCCAAAUGAGCAUCACAGCAUUUGAUCUUCGUAAAUGGUCACCCCCUGCUUUGAAGAGUGGACAAAUGUACACAACCCCAGGCAGAAUA